ACUCCUACGGGAGGCAGCAGUGAGGAAUAUUGGUCAAUGGGCGAGAGCCUGAACCAGCCAAGUAGCGUGAAGGAUGAAGGUCCUACGGAUUGUAAACUUCUUUUAUACGGGAAUAAAGUUUCCUACGUGUAGGAUUUUGUAUGUACCGUAUGAAUAAGCAUCGGCUAACUCCGUGCCAGCAGCCGCGGUAAUACGGAGGAUGCGAGCGUUAUCCGGAUUUAUUGGGUUUAAAGGGUGCGUAGGCGGCACGCCAAGUCAGCGGUGAAAUUUCCGGGCUCAACCCGGACUGUGCCGUUGAAACUGGCGAGCUAGAGUGCACAAGAGGCAGGCGGAAUGCGUGGUGUAGCGGUGAAAUGCAUAGAUAUCACGCAGAACCCCGAUUGCGAAGGCAGCCUGCUAGGGUGCGACAGACGCUGAGGCACGAAAGCGUGGGUAUCGAACAGGAUUAGAUACCCUGGUAGUCCACGCAGUAAACGAUGAAUACUAACUGUUUGCGAUACAAUGUAAGCGGUACAGCGAAAGCGUUAAGUAUUCCACCUGGGGAGUACGCCGGCAACGGUGAAACUCAAAGGAAUUGACGGGGGCCCGCACAAGCGGAGGAACAUGUGGUUUAAUUCGAUGAUACGCGAGGAACCUUACCCGGGCUCAAACGCAGGGGGAAUAUAUAUGAAAGUAUAUAGCUAGCAAUAGUCACCUGCGAGGUGCUGCAUGGUUGUCGUCAGCUCGUGCCGUGAGGUGUCGGCUUAAGUGCCAUAACGAGCGCAACCCCUAUUGACAGUUACUAACGGGUGAAGCCGAGGACUCUGUCGAGACUGCCGGCGCAAGCCGCGAGGAAGGUGGGGAUGACGUCAAAUCAGCACGGCCCUUACGUCCGGGGCGACACACGUGUUACAAUGGCAGGUACAGAAGGCAGCCAGUCAGCAAUGACGCGCGAAUCCCGAAAACCUGUCUCAGUUCGGAUUGGAGUCUGCAACCCGACUCCAUGAAGCUGGAUUCGCUAGUAAUCGCGCAUCAGCCAUGGCGCGGUGAAUACGUUCCCGGGCCUUGUACACACCGCCCGUCAAGCCAUGGAAGCCGGGAGUACCUGAAGCAUGCAACCGCAAGGAGCGUACGAAGGUAAUACCGGUAACUGGGGCUAAGUCGUAACAAGGUAGCCGUACCGGAAGGUGCGGCUG
rnacentral:rRNA from 1 species